AUCCAGCUGAUGAGUCUCAAAUAGGACGAAGUGGCACGCUUCCUGGAU
rfam:Schistosoma rodhaini strain Burundi genome assembly, scaffold: SROB_scaffold0000512